rnacentral:miRNA from 1 species
GUGGACUCAUUACACUUUGAAAAUUUCUAGUUAGAAAUCCAAACAGAGGGCUGGAGCGAUGGCUCAGCCAUUAAGGGCUAGGCUCACAACCAAAAAUAUA